AAUUACAAAAGCCAAAGAACUGAAAAGAAAAUGUCAUAACAAAUAUUUAAUUUUUUCAACUUAAUUUUUAAAAACUCCUUUUAUCUUCUAAUUGAGUCUCUUCUUUAAGAUUCUCACUUCAAGCUGUCAUCGAAAUUGAUUGAUAUUAUCUUGUGUGAAGUCUUAAUGGUCUAGCUUAUCCUUGCGAGCAAGAAAAUCUAUGUACUUUAAACAAUACAGACCACAAUCUAGUAAAAUGACUGGUUGAGAAGGGCA
rnacentral:lncRNA from 1 species